rnacentral:rRNA from 1 species
AACGAACGCUGGCGGCAUGCCUAACACAUGCAAGUCGAACGAGACCUUCGGGUCUAGUGGCGCACGGGUGCGUAACGCGUGGGAAUCUGCCCUUGGGUCUGGAAUAACAGUUAGAAAUGACUGCUAAUACCGGAUGAUGACUUCGGUCCAAAGAUUUAUCGCCCAGGGAUGAGCCCGCGUCGGAUUAGCUAGUUGGUGAGGUAAAAGCUCACCAAGGCGACGAUCCGUAGCUGGUCUGAGAGGAUGAUCAGCCACACUGGGACUGAGACACGGCCCAGACUCCUACGGGAGGCAGCAGUGGGGAAUAUUGGACAAUGGGCGAAAGCCUGAUCCAGCAAUGCCGCGUGAGUGACGAAGGCCUUAGGGUUGUAAAGCUCUUUUACCCGGGAUGAUAAUGACAGUACCGGGAGAAUAAGCCCCGGCUAACUCCGUGCCAGCAGCCGCCGUAAUAC